ACGGAAGGCAGCAGUGGGGAAUAUUGCACAAUGGGCGGAAGCCUGAUGCAGCAACGCCGCGUGAGGGAAGACGGUCUUCGGAUUGUAAGCCUUUGUCUUUGGUGAAGAAGAAAGUGACGGUAGCCAAGGAGGAAGCCACGGCUAACUACGUGCCAGCAGCCGCGGUAAUACGUAGGUGGCAGGCGUUGUCCGGAUUUACUGGGUGUAAAGGGAGCGCAGGCGGGACAGCAAGUUGGAUGUGAAAUACCGAGGCUUAACCACGGAGCUGCAUCUAAAACUGUUGUUCUUGAGUGAAGUAGAGGUAGGCGGAAUUCCGAGUGUAGCGGUGAAAUGCGUAGAUAUUCGGAGGAACACCAGUGGCGAAGGCGGCCUACUGGGCUGUAACUGACGCUGAGGCACGAAAGUGUGGGGAGCAAACAGGAUUAGAUACCCUGGUA
rnacentral:rRNA from 1 species